rnacentral:rRNA from 1 species
ACACCUGUUCCCAUGCCGAACACAGAAGUUAAGCUCUUUAGCGCCGAUGGUAGUCGGACUGACGUUCCGCGAGAGUAGGACGGUGCCAGGU